AGUCCAGUUGUUGGUGGUAAUGCACCUUAAAGUUGGUGGCCUACUGCCAUAUAAAGUACGAAGAAGAAUGAAGGAGGAGAGAUUACUAGAAAACAAACGUUUACCUGUGGAUUAAUUGUCGGAGAAGACGACUUUGUGCAUUUCAGGUAAAUGGUAAUAUGCUCUAAACCGCUCUGGUGACAAACUUUUGCUGCCUUGUUUCCAAUCGUCCACAUGGCUGCGAGAACCUAUUCAAGUAAGUAAAUCCAUUUCAAAUGUAAACUAUUAUUAGCUACAGUGCAGUCUAACUCAAAUUAGCUGCUAAUGUAACUAGCUAGCUAUCUAGCCAACUUUACACUGCAAGGUUUGGUGACCAGGGCAAUCUGGGACUGCCUCCUGAGGGCCUUCAGGCGUGUCAAGGCUCCCUGUGUCCUGCAUGACUUAAUGGACACGAGGACCAGGAGGGGGAUCUACAGCUUGCCACCGUGUGCCAGAGGAGAGGUCUACAGGAUGUUUCACGGAUGGGGGCAAAUAACUCUGCACAGGAGGCAAUCCAUGUGUGGGAGAUCUUCCCCACCUUCUUCAAAGAGGGUGCUGUUCCCUGGCAACACCAUAGACUACACUAUGCACAACCAAAUGCUCUUAAGAGCCAUCCACAUUGCAAUAAGAGUAUUCUUCCAUUUACUUAGCUAUGUCAACUGCAGUUAUUCAAUUCCAGGUUUCUUUCCUUUUGAUUUAUACUUCAGGUGAGGGUGCUGUCUGUACAAAAACAAAAAAGGCUCUUUCAAGAGUCGCCCAUAUUGAGAACAAUUACACACCCUAUAACCCACACCUACACACUUGUGUAUCAAUCUGAUGUGUUGUGCAGGCUCAGGUGUAACUGUGGCUCCUUCCACCUUCAAAGAAUAGACAAAGGGAACCAACCAUGGAGAAUAGUAAGACACUUCAUUAUUUAGCUUAGUAGACGCUAUAUAGUUUGUCAUGUCUGUUUUUCAGUAUAAAGUACUCUUGCAGCCACUUCGCGUGAACACCAGGUGAGACCACACACACAUUCCUGUUGAACGCUCGCUCUUUACUCAAAACAGUCUCUGUCCUUCAUCCCCUUCUCCCUAAAUCAUGUAGGUUAUAUCAGCUGUGUCUGAACUCCUCCCACAUCUGAACUGGCUGACAGAGGGCACAGCAUGCUGAGAGGUGAGAGGUCACUUGGUCUGGUCAACAGGAAGUAUUAUUAAAUGCUUUACAUUGAACUAGAGAUGUGUUAUUAACCUUGGGAAUACUACAAGGAUAGUUUUGCAUUUCACCUACUGAUGAUUAUGAUGACUGAGUGUUAGGGGAUGAUGUGAGAGGAUAAACUGGGUGCCCGAGGCUGUUCGGAGACAUGGCCAGAGACACUUAUGUAUCUGUGAUAAAGAGAGAAUAUUAGGGUAACCCUGUAAUGCUCUCUCAUACCUCUCCCCAAUUUCCUUUUCAUCUGUUUUUAUAAUGGCUGUCAGGUGUGCAUUGAAGUACAGAUUGAACAUUUUAUUUAGAAUAUAUUACAUUUUAUAAUGCAUGUAUUUAUAACACUUGGAUAAUGAACUUUCAGUAAAGCGUUUCACAUUC